UACGUAGGGUGCGAGCGUUAAUCGGAAUUACUGGGCGUAAAGCGUGCGCAGGCGGUUUGGUAAGACAGAUGUGAAAUCCCCGGGCUUAACCUGGGAAUGGCAUUUGUGACUGCCCGGCUAGAGUGUGUCAGAGGGGGGGUAGAAUUCCACGUGUAGCAGUGAAAUGCGUAGAGAUGUGGAGGAAUACCGAUGGCGAAGGCAGCCCCCUGGGCCAAUACUGACGCUCAGGCACGAAAGCGUGGGGAGCAACAGG
rnacentral:rRNA from 1 species